rnacentral:rRNA from 1 species
CCUACGGGAGGCAGCAGUGAGGAAUAUUGGUCAAUGGACGAGAGUCUGAACCAGCCAAGUAGCGUGAAGGAUGACUGCCCUAUGGGUUGUAAACUUCUUUUAUAUGGUAAUAAAAUGUUCCACGUCCGGGAUUUUGUAUGUCCCAUAUGAAUAAGGAUCGGCUAACUCCGUUCCAGCAGCCGCGGUAAUACGGAGGAUCCGAGCGUUAUCCGGAUUUAUUGGGUUUAAAGGGAGCGUAGGUGGAUUGUUAAGUCAGUUGUGAAAGUUUGCGGCUCAACCGUAAAAUUGCAGUUGAAACUGGCAGUCUUGAGUACAGUAGAGGUGGGCGGAAUUCGUGGUGUAGCGGUGAAAUGCUUAGAUAUCACGAAGAACUCCGAUUGCGAAGGCAGUUCACUGGACUGCAACUGACACUGAGGCUCGAAAGUGUGGGUAUCAAACAGGAUUAGAUACCCGAGUAGUC